rnacentral:SRP_RNA from 1 species
GCUGGGUGUGGUAGCGUAGGCCUGUAGUCCUAGCUACUUUGGAGGCUGAGAUGGGAGGAUCACUUGAGCCUGGGAGGUUGAGGCUGCAGUGGACUGUGAUUGUGCCACUGCACUCUGUCCUGGGCAACAGAGUGAGACCCUGUCUCAA